UGGCUCAGGAUGAACGCUGGCGGCGCACAUAAGACAUGCAAGUCGAACGGAAGUCGUUAUAUUGAUUUUGAAGAGAACGGAGAACUUGUUCAAAGGGACAUGAUGAAGAUUUAUAACAAUGGCUUUAGUGGCGGACUGGUGAGUAAUACGUAAGCAACCUGCCUAUUAGAGGGGAACAACAGUUAGAAAUGACUGCUAAUACCGCAUAUGCCAUAAUAACCACAUGGUUAUAGUGGGAAAGGAGCAAUCCGCUAAUAGAUGGGCUUACGGCUGAUUAGCUGGUUGGUGGGGUAACGGCCUACCAAGGCGACGAUCAGUAGCCGGACUGAGGGGUUCAACGGCCACAUUGGGACUGAGAUACGGCCCAGACUCCUACGGGAGGCAGCAGUGGGGAAUA
rnacentral:rRNA from 1 species